rnacentral:rRNA from 1 species
AACGAACGCUGGCGGCAGGCCUAACACAUGCAAGUCGAACGGGACCUUCGGGUCUAGUGGCGGACGGGUGAGUAACGCGUGGGAACGUGCCCUUUGGUUCGGAAUAGCCUCGGGAAACUGGGAGUAAUACCGUAUAAGCCCUACGGGGGAAAGAUUUAUCGGGAAGGGAUCGGCCCGCGUUGGAUUAGGUAGUUGGUGGGGUAAUGGCCUACCAAGCCGACGAUCCAUAGCUGGUUUGAGAGGAUGAUCAGCCACACUGGGACUGAGACACGGCCCAGACUCCUACGGGAGGCAGCAGUGGGGAAUCUUAGACAAUGGGCGCAAGCCUGAUCUAGCCAUGCCGCGUGAGCGAUGAAGGCCUUAGGGUUGUAAAGCUCUUUCAGUGGGGAAGAUAAUGACUGUACCCACAGAAGAAGCCCCGGCUAACUCCGUGCCAGCAGCCGCGGU